UACAAUGGUAAACAUAAUACAAAUACAACAUUUUCUUUACAAUAAUAUUACAAAUUAAAAAAAGAAAAGAAAAAGAUACCUCAUAAUAUAAUUCACAUGUUCUUUGUUUUUUUAGGUGUUACACUUUCCACUAAAGUCAACAACACUUUUUUCAUUAACGCGGAAAUUUUAACUGUAGCAAAUUACAAAGAAUGGUCAUCAAGCACAACUAAAAAACUUCUUUACCUUUCCCAUCAUCAUAUAAUUUAUUCAUAAUAGUAAAUUUCAUACUUAUUUUUUGCCUUCUUUAUUAUAGGAUUAAAACAAACAAAGAAAAACUUGACAAUCUAAUUGAAGAUAAGCCAUCCGUUGCAAUCACACCACCAGAAAAUUUCACCUCCAGAUGAACAUAAGUUCACAUUAAUUGUUGAUUUACAAGGAGCUUAUCUAGGAGUAAUUUCACAAACACUUAAUUAAACUUAACUAAAUAUACACUGCACACAUUAUUAUCUAUAGUCAAAACUACAAAAACACCUACAAUUUUUAUGACUACUAUAUUUCUCAUCUAACUCCACAAAAACUUUUUACCUACAGAAAAAAUUUUAUUGGGUGAAAGCCCAAUGAAAAAUUACUACAAUACACCAAAAAUUCUAGUACAUGUCCAGCAAUUGUAGCAGAAUAUCCAAUGUAGACUUGGGACAAAUUCAUAAGUGUCGUUUCUACAAGUUUGAACACACUAAAGCAAUACCAAGGUAAGACGCACCUCUAAGCAUAUAUUCAACUAUCUAUUACAAACAACUCUUCAUUUGGUAAAACAAAAUAUGUAAUUUCAUGAACUUCUUUACACAGAGCAAAUGCAUUUGUGCACUUUGAAGAUAGAUAUGGAGCAUAGGAUGCAAGCAUGAUAGGCAAAACGGUAGAAACGUUAUUGGAAGGUCCUGCUACAAAAAUGAUGAACCAUUUUGAAAAGGUCACCCCAGGUUCUACUAAACUCUUUAACAAUUUUUUCCUAUACGUAAAUACAUCACACACAACCAUAAUCACCAUAUAGUAGGAUUCGGAUGUACAAUUGAGCAACGUGAUAAGGACUGGGAAAAAAGAGGAACAACUCUUCUACCUAAAAGUGACACCAAAAAGACAGAAUCUACCUGAAUACCGAUAUGAAAUCAUCUUCAUAUCUAAUUCUUCAACAACAGUCACUAAUAGAAUUGUGGAAUUGGAUUCCUCUCCUGCAACCAAUAAUAUCAACAGCUCAAUCACAAAGAUGAUAGUUCAAAUGAAACAACCACGAAAGGUAUAAACAAAAUGUACAUCACAAACAACCAAGUUUACACAAACACCGAUGAAGUAACUACGCUAAAUGCAAAAGAGCUCUCAUCCAAAUUCCAGAUGAAAAAGCUGAGAGUGGCUCAAACAAGAAAAUGAAGCCUGACAAAGAUACGAAUCGGAUGAACAGCCCAAUAUUCUUGGCUUAGGGAAAAAACCCGAGUGAAAAAAUACUUCUUGUUUUGACAAAAUGCAAUCCAACAAUGUGUCACUUCUACAAUCCUGAAGAAAAGCAACCUAAUCCAUAAAUCUGGAGCAAACUGAUGUUCAAUCUUUAGUUAAGAUUUAACUGUUUUGCUACUUCACAAUUCUGGGUUGAAAAAGUUGCUUUAAAUAUUUUGAUAUCUUUUUGUUUUUACUAAUGUAAAUACUUUAAUGUGACAAGGAACACUACUCGUACAGUGGCUGCCGUUAAUGUAUGUCCUCUUAAAAUAAUUCCAUUGAAGUCGUGUUGCAGUUCUUGUGCCUAAAAAUUUGAAGGUUCCUCACUAUACUGUAUAAUAUUUUUU
rnacentral:lncRNA from 1 species